GGUUUUAUUUUAAAAAUGCGCCAAAAUUUAGUUAGUUAAAUUAUCAGUGCUAUUCAGAAGCAAUAUAAAAAAUGAAAAAGGAUAAUUUAGAGUAUGAUUUCAAAAUAGUUUGUGACUUAUUUUGUAUUAAAUCUCAGAAAGAUUACUAAAAAGAAGAUUUAAUAGCUCUCAGCAAUAGUAGAUAUUGUUUUGUUUGCAAACCAAAAGGCAGUAAAAAUUUUAUUGUGUUCCGAUGUUUACCCUUUUUUACCUUUACACUUUAAACUUAUUAAGAAAAAGACAAGCACCUGAUAUUAUUCGAUAUGAAUAUAUACUUAAGUUGUGCAAUAAUUAAGUUUGAGUUGUUUCUCCGCUUUUGAGUUUAAUGAAAGAUCAAGAAAACAUUCUUAGUAAAAACAUUUUACUAAAAAGGAAAUCAAAGUAGCUUUUAUGAAGCAUAAUCAACAAAGAAAAAAAUAUAGAAGAUGAUCAAACAGAGAUAAAUUAUAAUGAAACAAAUGUAAUAUUUUGUUCACCUGAAGCCAUUGUAAUAACUUAUUGAUCAAUUGUCAAUGACUCUACUUUUAAUUACAAACUUGUUGCAUUUGCAGCUGAGGAAAGCCAUUGUGUGAAAAAGUGGGGAAGUUCAAGUUUAUUCAGAUCAUAUAUCAGAUGUAUUUCGGUCUCAUGAUAAUAGACUCAGAAUUGUGAUCACUUGUGCCUAAAAGGAUUCCAGAAUUGGCAUUGACAGCAACUGCAACUAAACAAAAAUGGAAAAUGAUAAUUUUCAUUUACUCGACUAUUAACUAGUCGAGAAGGAAACAUCGUAAUAGCUGAGUAGGCGAAGCCAGCAUUUGAACCUCCAAUCCUGCUGCUGCGGCCAAUAAUUAUUCUGAAUUUAUAACAGUGCUUCAUCCAACUGAGCUAUCCCGAACUUAUAACAGUGCUUUAACCAACUGAGCUACCAUUAUUGAUAAUCUUUGUAUGCAUAAUUUAGUUAUUAUAUUAUCUACACCAGAAAGAAGAAAUAUUAAAUACCAGAUCCAGAGAAAUUUUUCUACUCAGUUGUUCAAGAUAUUCUUUUGAAUAAUUAUUCAGCUAAAAGAACUUUAGUUUUUUCUACAACUAUGACUGAUGUAAGAUUAAUUUAUUUGUACUUUCACAAAAAACAAGGUCAAAAAGGUGUAAAAUAUAAAAGCCGUCUUAAUAGACCAUACAUUCAAUUUCAUUCCAAAACAGAUUUUAAUGAUGAAAAGUAUAAUAAUACAAAACAAAAAGAUAAACAACUUCUAAAAUUGAUCAAGCUUCAUUUUUUUGUUCGAAAAUAUUCUACUAUUCGUUUCUUCUGCUGUUGGUGUAGAUAUCAAUAUUUUUUGUGAGUUUUUUUUUAAGAAUUUCACGACUUCUUAAAA